AUGAAUCCGGGAAGGAAAAAAACGGUCCGCCGCAAAGACUCACUGUUCUCAACCACCUGUGAGCGAUCGGGGAAUGUAAUGAAGAUUUGCGUCAAUCUCAUGCCUGCCCUGGCCCUCUCUCAGGACCCCCUGGACCCCGAAGAAGGGAGUCGAGACCACAGCCACAGAUUCUCCCUCACAGAGAAGACACGCAUCCCGGCUUCCACUAACGAGGAACGUAAACCUGAGAAGGAUAAAGCGAGUAAUCGGCGAGGUGAUAUCAAGCCUACGGUGUUAACUUUCAAUGGAGCCACAAGAGUCCAUCUUAACCCCGCGUUUGUACUUCCCCCGAUCAUGGCUAAAUCCAACAACACCAUUUGGAGGCGUCCUGUUUUCUACGACCAUGCGAAGACUGUGGUGUCUGCUGCACCACCUAACAAGGGUGGGGCCGCCCUAUCCAGACACGGUGGGGUAUCCCGCCACAGCGGGGUAUCUAGCCUGGGUGGGGUGUCUUACCAGGGUGGCGUAUAUAUCAAGGGUUGGGUUUCUGAUCAGGGUGGGGUAUCUAGCCAGGGAAGGGUAUGUAGCCAGGGAAGGGUAUGUAGCCAGGGAGUGGUAUCCGACCAGAGUGGGGUAUCCGACCAGAGUGGGGUAUCCAACCAGAGUGGGGUAUCUAGCCUGAGUGGGGUAUCUGACCUGGGUAGGGUAUCUAGCAAGAGUGGGUUAUGUAGCCAGGGUGGGGUGUCUGAUCAGGGUGGGGUAUCUGACCAGAGUGGGGUAUCUAGCCUAAGUGGGGUAUCGAGUCAGGGUGGUUUAUGUGACAUUGGUGGGGUAUCUAACCACAGUGGGGUAAAUUACCAGAGUGGGGUAUCUAGCCAGAGUGGGGUAUAUGACCAGAGUGGGGUAUCGAGCCAGAGUGGGGUAUCUACGUCCAGCCAGGAUGGGGUAUAUAACCAGGGUAGGUUAUAUGACCAGGGCGGGGUAUAUGACCAGAGCAGGGUAACUAGUCAAGAUAUGGUAUCUUGCCCGAGUGUGGUAUAUGACCAGACUGGGGAAUCUGACCAAAGUUGGGUAUCCGACCACGGAGUAUCCAGCCAGAGUGGGGUAUCUAACCCGGGCGGGGUAACAGAGCAGAAUGAGAGGCUAAAGGCCCGUGAAUACACAGCCUCCUCUUCAGACGGUCCACCAGACACCAGGCUCUGGACAGACAGAACUCUGUCAUCUGAACGGCGGUCCUCACAGCCCCACCUACCAGACGUGUCCCUGGCCAGUCUGAGGCUGCUGCUGCACGGGGUGACCAGCCGUGUGGGCCGUAGGUCCACCUCCAGGAGGGGGGGCGUCCAUUGGUCCGAGUCCGGGUCUGUUGGGUCUAGCCGGCUCUCGUUGGACCGGACCGUGCUGCAGCGUCUGAGAGGGAGCAGGUUCGACGAGGAGAGGCUGGGCAGUGCGGGGAAAGGACGAGUAUUACUUCCGGAGGGAGACCGGGGCCAGGCGAGACUCCGGCCCCGGCUCCUGCCCCCCAUCUGCCCGGGGAACGGACCCCCGGUCCUGCUGACCAUGUCCACAGGGAACCCCCCCCUCCUCCCCUCUCGCACCCCCCACCCCCAACGGAGACCCCCCAUGGAGCAGACACAAGAAGAAACAGCGCUUUUAAAGCAAUAUAUUUUUUAA
rnacentral:lncRNA from 1 species